CAGCAGGAUCACAGUUACACAGGAGAGGUUGACCAUAUCAACAGUGGCCAGGUUAAGGAUGUAGGUCACAUAGGGGCUGCUCCAGACCUAACUGUCCCCUGAAACAAAGAAGAAUCUUUAAGAGAAGUCAGUCUCUCCACUUUAAUGCAUCUCCCAGACUGAGGUCCAGCCCAGCCCAACCCAUCCUAGAAGGCAGAAGAGGAAAGUCAGCUCAGACAACUGAAAAAGGACUAAUCUGCUUAUAGAUGGAGAGCUAACAGAAGUGGAGAGACAAAGACCUGUCCACGAGAAGUCUCAUGCCCCUUCCUUCACUCUGACACCUCCUUAACAUGCUCCUGAAAUGUCAGCAUCAUGAGACAUGAGCUACACAAUGAUGCAGUAUGGGAAUUAAGAGGUAACCAUAUAUUUUAAUAUCAGACUUGAAUGAAUCUUCUUUGUUUUGAGUAACAUGUACACAUAAUUGAAUAAGCACAUAUAGAAAUCAUUAAAAAAAGUUAUUUGACAAAUUACACCUUAAAAGGAGACUAUACAUUAUUUUAAACACCAUGGUGGACAAAACUGACCAUGUCUUCAGCCACAGAGUA